rnacentral:rRNA from 1 species
AAGUUGUUGUGGUUAAAAAGCUCGUAGUUGGAUCUCAGCUUAUUCGGCAUGGUCCACUUGACGGUGGCUACUGUGGCGAUGAGCAAUUUAUCGCAUUGUCCGACGGUGUUCUUAAUUGAGCGUCGUGGGCGAUCGAUACGUUUACUUUGAAAAAAUUAGAGUGCUCAAAGCAGGCAUCAUCGCCUGAAUACUGUUGCAUGGAAUAAUGGAAUAGGACCUUGGUUCUGUUCUGUUGGUCUUCGGAAUCGAGGUAAUGAUUAAGAGGGACGGACGGGGACAUUAGUACUGCGGCGAUAGAGGUGAAAUUCUUGGACCGCCGCAUGACUAACCAAAGCGAAAGCAUUUGUCAAGAACGUUUUCAUUAAUCAAGAACGAAAGUUAGAGGUUCGAAGGCGAUCAGAUACCGCCCUAGUUCUAACCAUAAACGAUGCCAACCAGCAAUCAGCCAGAGUUUAUUGUAUGACUCGGCUGGCGGCUUCCGGGAAACCAAAGUUUUUCGGUUCCAGGGGAAGUAUGGUUGCAAAGCUGAAACUUAAAGGAAUUGACGGAAGGGCACCACCAGGAGUGGAGCCUGCGGCUUAAUUUGACUCAACACGGGGAAACUCACCCGGUCCGGACACUGGAAGGAUUGACAGAUUAAGAGCUCUUUCUUGAUUCAGUGGGUGGUGGUGCAUGGCCGUUCUUAGUUGGUGGAGCGAUUUGUCUGGUUAAUUCCGAUAACGAACGAGACUCUAGCCUACUAAAUAGUGUUGGGCACCUUCGGUUGUCCGAACGCUUCUUAGAGGGACAAACGGCGUUUCAGCCGUAUGAAAAAGAGCAAUAACAGGUCUGUGAUGCCCUUAGAUGUCCGGGGCCGCACGCGCGCUACACUGAAAAAAUCAUCGUGCAUUUGUCUACCUACUCCGAACGGAGCGGGAA